rnacentral:rRNA from 1 species
GGGGGCUAGCGUUGUUCGGAUUUACUGGGCGUAAAGCGCACGUAGGCGGACUUUUAAGUCAGGGGUGAAAUCCCGGGGCUCAACCCCGGAACUGCCUUUGAUACUGGAAGUCUUGAGUAUGGUAGAGGUGAGUGGAAUUCCGAGUGUAGAGGUGAAAUUCGUAGAUAUUCGGAGGAACACCAGUGGCGAAGGCGGCUCACUGGACCAUUACUGACGCUGAGGUGCGAAAGCGUGGGGAGCAA